GAGUGAAACGAUGGUAUACCAUCUUUCAGACCUGACUUGAAAUGGAGAAACUUUUUUUUUUAAUGCUGAUCACUC